rnacentral:ncRNA from 2 species
GGACGAACCUCUGGAGAGACUCUUUAUGAGCGCCGAAGGGGAAAGCUGUUUACAGUGAAACUCUCAGGUACAAGGGACAGAGGCAGAUGC